GUCUUUGUCUAACUAGUUAGAAAAAGAGAUUCAAGAAGACGCGUUAAUAACCGUUAAAAUCUAGUUUAUUUAAUAAAUUCCUUAGUGAUUAGUGCCAUUAAUUACGUAAUUAAUAAACAGGUUAGGAUUUCCAAACAAGAUUCGAAAUUACAUUUUUAAUGAAAAUUCAAAAAAUUUAUAAAAAAAUUGUAAAGAAGAGAGGUCAAUGAGUUAAUUUAGAAGCAGAAACAAGUUGCAAAUUAAAUAUUCAAGGAAGAAAAAAUACUGAGAAACAUAACCUGAAAAAGAUGAAUACGAAUAUCUGACGUUUCUGCUGGAAUUUAAUUUACAAUUUAAAAAUUCUUUUCCGAUAAGGUAAAAUGCGACUGAUACGCACACAACGUUUUUGAGAAACAUUUUGCAUUAUAUACUGAUAAUCAGAAAAGAGAGGAAGAGAUAGAGAUAGAGAGAGAGAGAGAGCUUCAGCAAGUGCAAACGCUCAGGACUUUCAAAGAUGUCAGUCAUGUUUUUUCUAACGUGCAAUCUGGACGUAGGAUAUAACGCUUUUUAAAAUUCGCUAAUACAAUAGGAACAGUGAUGACUCUUCCAUUUUUGGAAAUCAAGACAUUCUGGCAAAUAUACCCGAAUUUUUAUAAUAUAUACAGUCAUGAAAAUCAAAACAUUUUGUACUGUAAAAUACAAUUGGAAUAAAAUUUUUGGAAAUAAAUGAGGAAUCUUCGGAAUUUUAAAAAAUCCUAUAAAAAUAUUGCCCAUGACUGAUAAAAAAGGAUUUUGUUCAAUUAAAAAAUAAAUUGACACAAUUCACAUUAAAGAGGAUCUACCGCAUAAAAUUUGUUCAUCAAUCGCAAUAUUAGAUUUUCAACAGUCAACUAUAUAAACUAUGAAACUAAAUUUCUAUAACUACUUAAUAUAAUGUAGAGAAAUCUUCCAAUAGAGUAGGUAGGUACUUAUACAUAAUUCAACUAUCAAAGUAUUGGGCGGAUACCGGCUACAUCUAAGGCCUCGCUCAUGAAUCAUUUAAAAUUAAUAAGUAUUUAAUUUAGUCCCAUACAUUCAUUCUAACAGCUUAAUCGAACAGUAUUUAGAAGAAAUAAAACAAUUGUAUUUGUCACUUUCAUUCGAUCGAAAGGAUUCCGGUGUGGAUGACAGGAUUUUUUUCAAAAAAAAAAAAAAAACAA